rnacentral:rRNA from 1 species
GAUGAACGCUAGCGGGAGGCUUAACACAUGCAAGUCGAGGGGCAGCAUAGGGUAGCAAUACUCUGAUGGCGACCGGCAAACGGGUGAGUAACGCGUAUGUAACCUACCCUGUACAGGGGGAUAACCCGGAGAAAUUCGGACUAAUAUCCCAUAACAAUAUCCGGGGGCAUCUUUGGAUAUUUAAAGUUCCGGCGGUACGGGAUGGGCAUGCGUAACAUUAGCUAGUUGGUAAGGUAACGGCUUACCAAGGCUUUGAUGUUUAGGGGUCCUGAGAGGGUGGUCCCCCACACUGGUACUGAGACACGGACCAGACUCCUACGGGAGGCAGCAGUGAGGAAUAUUGGUCAAUGGGCGCAAGCCUGAACCAGCCAUCCCGCGUGCAGGAAGACGGCGCUAUGCGUUGUAAACUGCUUUUCCAGGGAGAGAAACUUGCGCACGUGUUGCACAAUUGACGGUACCCUGGGAAUAAGCAUCGGCUAACUCCGUG